UGGUACUCUUUGCUUAAGUGCUCUUCCUUCUCACUAUCAGAGUCCUGCAGAUUGACUGCGGUAAACCCUUCAUCGUUACGGUCCCCUUCAUCUUCCGAGCUGCUGUGGUAUAUCCGCUGUUUCUUGAACUUCUUUUUUGGUCUCGCGGUUCUGCCGUUCAUUCCAUCUUCGAUCUUGCGCUUCUUAAAAGACGGAGGCGCCAUUUAUAGAGAUAUAUAUAUUUAUUUGUAUGUCUCUUUGGAAUGGGAGAAGUGGGAAGGUACUUUUUAUGGAGUGUCAAGAAUAUUUUCGGAGGAAAAUAAAAAUUAUUUACG
rnacentral:sRNA from 1 species